rnacentral:tRNA from 1 species
GGGGUUGUGGCUCAGUGGUAGAGCACUUGCCUAGCAUGCAUGAGGCACUGUGUUUGAUUCCCAGUACCACA